UUCCUACAGCAUUUCAAAGAAACGAGUUGUACGCGUUCUACGACAGAAGUUGAGUGUAUCGUGAAAAAAAGUGUAAACACUGUUUAUUUUUUUACCAAGAGGAGUAAACUAAGAAGACAGAUUCACAUCCAAGAAAAGUCACCAAAUUCAUCUUCUUUUUUCGUUGAUUAUGUCGGCUUUACGGUAAUUCAGUAAUCACAAUCGGAGAACCUCGCACGUCGAUUGUCACAAGUAUGCAAGCCAAGAAAGAGAGUAAAUAAGAAGAACACGUCGAUUCUAACCUCAACUUGUUGUUGGUUUGUUUGAAUAAUUUUUUCCAAUUUAUGUACUUCCAAUAUGUAGGUAUAUAUUUCUUUUGUUUUUCAAAUUACAAUAAAAAAUGUUGGAUUGGUAUGAAGAAGUUGAAGAAUUUUUAGAGUUUAUUUCUUAUAUUGUAGAAGAAAAUCGCCCGGAAAGUAUACGAAAGCCAUGUGAUAAAAUUAUAUCAAAUCCAAUGGAAUUUUACAAUAUUGAAUUUCAUCAGCUGCAAUAACUUAAACAACAAAGAUUUUAUGCUACUUUAUAGGAAUAUAACCAGUUUUUAUGAAGUUGCCCAUUUCAAAUUACAGCUCUUUCAUGUUCUAGAAGCGAGAUUAUGAAUGUUGUUGGUUGUUGGUGAACAACAAGGUCAAGUUAUGUUGGCUUAAUAUUUGAUCUAAGUGCAUUAAGAGGUAUCAUGAGAAAGAGUGAAAUUCCAGGAUUAUUAAUUGGCAAUAGUAGAUACGCAUGCAAAUACUAUCUAUUUACUUCAGUAUUACAGCCAGGUGCCAUCUGUGAGAGUCCACAACUCAAGUCCAUACAACAGUACACUAAAGAUAUAACAUCAUAGUAACCUGAUUUUUAUGGGUAUCGACAAAUCAUGACAUUUGAAUAACUUAGCCAUUGCUUGAAAUGUAGAUCUUGCUUUCUCUAUCCUACAUUUGAUUUCUAUGGAAUGAUCCCAAUCUUCAUUGACGUUCGUACCAAGGUAGGUGUAUGUAUUUACUCUUUCUAUUUGUUGACUGUUCACACUGAUUCGUCUAAAUUGCUGUUCCUUCUUAGAGAUCAUCAUACAUUCUGUUUUCUUAGUGUUUAGUGAAAGUCUGCAUCACUGAUUGACUUCUGCGAUUCUGUUCAAUAAAUAUGCACCAGAAAUAAACAAACCAAGACACUUAAAUGUUACGAGGAGUACUCCCUAAUCAUGAUUUACACAAAAAAUAUAUAAACCUUGUAAAUCAGGAUUUGGGAUUUACAAUGUACUUAUAUAAAUUGUAAAUUAUUAUUUAGGAGUGCACCUCGUAACAUUCAAUGUUUCUUGGUUUAUUUAUUUCUAAUGCAUCUUUAUUGUGAUUGUAGUAAGUAUAAUAUAUAGGUAUAUAUGUAUAUCUUUUUAGGUAAUGAUCAAGAAAAUAGAUACAAUAGUGCACAUGUAAGAACAAGAAAUGUUGCCGAAAAGCUAUUUGGAACCUGGAAAAAACAGUUUCCAUGUCUUCAAAAGUUCUACAAACCGAAUUAAAUACAUACCUUGCAAUAUGUGCUACAACAGUACCUUAUAAGUUAUAAUCUGGGUGCAAGAGAAAAUCAUGAUGGUGAUGAUGAUUUUGUAGAAAAUCUUGAUUUGUCGGUAAAUGGAAAUGUUAAUGAUGUGGAACAAUGUUUAAAUUUUAGGAGGCAUUUUUAUCGACAAUAUUUUGCAUGAGAAUGAGAAUACAUUAUUGAAUACUUGUAAUAUAUUAAAUGUUUUUUUUUUAAUAUUUAAUGGGUCGUCUUUCUUUGGGAUUUUUUGCCUAUUAUUUCUCAAAUAUCAUGAUCAUUGGCUUGACAACUCUUUUUGUUUGAGUUUUGGUCCCUUCAGGAAUACUUACUUCUCCAUUCUAAUCUAUUUGAAGAUUUUGAUUUUUUGUUCUUCCAAUUUUUUAUUUUUAAAAUUUCAAUGUCUUAUCCUAUUUGUUCCUUGCCUAUAUGUAAUCUUUGGUCUUCCUCCUGUUAAUGUCCAGCUGAUAUUUCUUUGUUUAUUUUGGAAAAUAUUUCAUGUUCUUCCAUCUUUCCUCUUAUUAUGUGCUCCUAUUUUGAUGAAUGUUAGUAUAUAGAUUCUGGUAUGUCCUGUAUAGUUCAAAAUUAUAUCUUCUUCUCAAUUUCCCUUUUUUUUUCUUCUUUGUAUAUGUGUCAAGAUUCUUCUGCCUAAGUAACCAAUUGGUCGUCUUCACUUUAAGUAAGUAACCAGAUUUCAGAUUCAUAUGUAAAUACUGGAUGUAUUAAGGUUUUGUGCAAUUGACAUUUAGUUUUUCUUGUAAUAUCUUAUCUUGGUUGUUUGAUCGAGCCCUGGUAACUUUAAUUGGCUAUGAACUGUUUGUAUUGCUAUGUUAGAUGCUAUUUAGCCUGAUUUCAGUGCUUUGUUAUUGUUUAUUUUAUCUACUUGUCUACUGCUAGUCUAUUAUUGUACUUUCACUAUAUAUGUUUUGAAUUUAUAUAGUAAUCUGUCUUUCUCUUCUAUCUAUAUUCCACUAGAAUUUGUUUAUUUAUUCUGAGAAUACAUUAUUGAAUCCUUGUAUAAUGUGAGAUAUAUGUAGUUUCUUUUUUAGUUUACUUCUCAACAUGUAUUUUUUAUAUUUGAUGUUAAAAUAAAUGAGUACGAGUUUUUCUCCUUUUAAA